rnacentral:rRNA from 1 species
GAGUUUGAUCGUGGCUCAGAGUGAACGCUGGCGGCAGGCCUGACACAUGCAAGUCGAGCGCGAAAGGUCUUCGGACUGAGUAAAGCGGCGAACGGGUGAGUAACGCGUGGGAAUCUGCCCAGUAGUGGGGGACAACAGCCGGAAACGGCUGCUAAUACCGCAUACGCCCUACGGGGGAAAGGGGGGGAGUCUUCGGACCUCUCGCUAUUGGAUGAGCCCGCGUCGGAUUAGCUAGUUGGUAGGGUAAAGGCCUACCAAGGCGACGAUCCGUAACUGGUCUGAGAGGGCGGACGGCCACACUGGAACUGAGACACGGUCCAGACUCCUACGGGAGGCAGCAGUGGGGAAUUGUUCACAAUGGGCGCAAGCCUGAUGACGCAACGCCGCGUGGGGGAUGAAGGUCUUCGGAUUGUAAACCCUGUCGAAUGGGACGAAUGGCCUCUGGGCUAAUCACCA